ACUCAAAGGAAUAGACGGGGGCCCGCACAAGCGGUGGAGCAUGUGGUUUAAUUCGAUGCAACGCGAAGAACCUUACCUGGGUUAGACAACGUUGGACAACUCUAGAGAUAGAGUCUCCCCUUCGGGGGCCAGCGGUAUAGGUGCUGCAUGGCUGUCGUCAGCUCGUAUCGUGAGAUGUCGGGUUAAGUCCCUUAACGAGCGCAACCCUUGUCCCUAGUUGCCAUCAUUUAGUUGGGCACUCUAAGGAGACUGCCGGUGUUAAACCGGAGGAAGGUGGGGAUGACGUCAAGUCCUCAUGGCCCUUAUGUCCAGGGCUACACACGUGCUACAAUGGCCGGUACAGAGGGUCGCCAACCCGCAAGGGGGAGCUAAUCUCAGAAAGCCGGUCUCAGUUCGGAUUGAAGUCUGCAACUCGACUUCAUGAAGCUGGAAUCGCUAGUAAUCGCGGAUCAGAACGCCGCGGUGAAUACGUUCCCGGGCCUUGCACACACCGCCCGU
rnacentral:rRNA from 1 species